rnacentral:lncRNA from 1 species
UGGUGUUACAUGAUAGAAUAAAUGCAAAAGGAGCAUAGAAGGACACCAUUCGUUCUUCGUUCUAUGAAAGAAAAAGUUAAGGGAGUAGAUUGGCCUAGAAGAAAGAACAAGAACAUUAGAAAUGGAAACUAAUAUUAUACAACUAUGCCUCACUUGAAAGUCUUGUAAAUACUUAUUUUUGACUCUUUUAGUAUAUGUGGGAAUUAUUAAAUAAUGAUAUCUUGCCACAAAUUACACAAAACUUGUACUCAUUCCAAUCGUGCAGGAACAAGUGUAAACUAGUGCAACUUUAAUAAUAAUAUUUAUGAUUUGAGAAGAUUAAUUGAAAAAUAAUUCCAUGUUAAGUUCAAAACAAAAUUUAAGUAGUGGCACACAAUUUUCACAACAAACCACUGUCAUAUGCAUAAUUAUAUGAGAAAUACAAUGGCCUGAAAGUCGACUAACAAAAAAACAAGAGGAACUACCAACACGAGCGAGAAAAUUAAAAUAUUUUUUCAUUCUGCUCACUUUUUCUUAUUGGUAAACAAAGACAUAUAUAAACAUAAAAGAACUAACAAUCAACCUAAGAGGAAAGAAUCAUGGAAAUGGUGUUACCUGAAACAAAAACAAAAACAUAAAUAGAAAAAGUAAAAAAUCCAAGAAUAAAUGAAUUAAGGGCAUUGAUAUAACGUGAAAUAAGAACAAAUAAAACUGAUACACUUCCGAACCAUGGACAAAACUUGUACUC